GAUGAACGCUAGCUACAGGCUUAACACAUGCAAGUCGAGGGGAAACGAUAGAGAAAGCUUGCUUUUUCUAGGCGUCGACCGGCGCACGGGUGAGUAACGCGUAUCCAACCUGCCCACCACUUGGGGAUAACCUUGCGAAAGUAAGACUAAUACCCAAUGACGUCUCUAGAAGACAUCUGAAAGAGAUUAAAGAUUUAUCGGUGAUGGAUGGGGAUGCGUCUGAUUAGCUUGUUGGCGGGUAACGGCCCACCAAGGCGACGAUCAGUAGGGGUUCUGAGAGGAAGGUCCCCCACAUUGGAACUGAGACACGGUCCAAACUCCUACGGGAGGCAGCAGUGAGGAAUAUUGGUCAAUGGACGAGAGUCUGAACCAGCCAAGUAGCGUGCAGGAUGACGGCCCUAUGGGUUGUAAACUGCUUUUAUAAGGGAAUAAAGUGAGUCUCGUGAGACUUUUUGCAUGUACCUUAUGAAUAAGGACCGGCUAAUUCCGUG
rnacentral:rRNA from 1 species